ACUCCUACGGGAGGCAGCAGUGGGGAAUAUUGGACAAUGGGCGCAAGCCUGAUCCAGCAAUGCCGCGUGUGUGAAGAAGGCCUUCGGGUUGUAAAGCACUUUUAUCAGGAGCGAAAUACCAUUGGCUAAUAACCGAUGGGGCUGACGGUACCUGAGGAAUAAGCACCGGCUAACUUCGUGCCAGCAGCCGCGGUAAUACGAAGGGUGCAAGCGUUAAUCGGAAUUACUGGGCGUAAAGCGUGCGUAGGCGGUUAUUUAAGUCUGCUGUGAAAUCCCCGGGCUCAACCUGGGAAUGGCAGUGGAUACUGGAUAGCUAGAGUGUGAUAGAGGAUGGUGGAAUUCCCGGUGUAGCGGUGAAAUGCGUAGAGAUCGGGAGGAACAUCAGUGGCGAAGGCGGCCAUCUGGAUCAACACUGACGCUGAGGCACGAAAGCGUGGGGAGCAAACA
rnacentral:rRNA from 1 species